rnacentral:misc_RNA from 1 species
AACCGUAGGGGAACCUGCGGUU